GACUAUUUAGAUGAGCUGUCCACAAG
rnacentral:piRNA from 1 species